rnacentral:rRNA from 1 species
UACGGGGGGGGCAAGCGUUGUUCGGAAUUACUGGGCGUAAAGGGCUCGUAGGCGGCCAACUAAGUCAGACGUGAAAUCCCUCGGCUUAACCGGGGAACUGCGUCUGAUACUGGAUGGCUUGAGUUUGGGAGAGGGAUGCGGAAUUCCAGGUGUAGCGGUGAAAUGCGUAGAUAUCUGGAGGAACACCGGUGGCGAAGGCGGCAUCCUGGACCAACACUGACGCUGAGUGGAGCGAAAAGCCCAGGGGGAGCAAACGGGG